UUAUGGCCAUAUCACAUUGAAACAUCAGUUCUCAUUUGAUCACUGAAGUUAAGCAAUGUUGAGCCUGGUCAGUACUCAGAUGGGUGAUGGCUGAGGAAUACCAGC